rnacentral:rRNA from 1 species
AACGAACGCUGGCGGCAUGCCUAACACAUGCAAGUCGAACGAGACCUUCGGGUCUAGUGGCGCACGGGUGCGUAACGCGUGGGAACAUGCCCUGAGGUUCGGAAUAACUCCCCGAAAGGGGUGCUAAUACCGGCUAAUGUCUUCGGACCAAAGGUUUGUCGCCUUUGGGUGUGCCGGCGUUGGCUUAGCUAGUGGUUGGGGUAGAAGCCUACCAAGGCGAGGAUCCACAGCUGGUCAGAGAGGAUGAUCAGCCACACUGGGACUGAGACACGGCCCAGACUCCUACGGGAGGCAGCAGUGGGUAAUAUUGGCCAGUGGGCGAAAGCCCGAUCCAGCAAUGCCGCGUGAGUGAUGAAGGCCUUAGGGUUGUAAAGCUCUUUUACCCGGGAUGAUAAUGACAGUACCGGGAGAAUAAGCUCCGGCUAACUCCGUG